rnacentral:rRNA from 1 species
CCUACGGGAGGCAGCAGUAGGGAAUCUUCCACAAUGGACGAAAGUCUGAUGGAGCAACGCCGCGUGAGUGAAGAAGGGUUUCGGCUCGUAAAGCUCUGUUGGGAGGGAAGAAAGAUAGAGGUAGUAACUGGCCUUUAUUUGACGGUCAUUACUUAGCAAGUCAGGGCUAACUACGUGCCAGCGGCCGAGGUAAUACGAAGGUGGCAAGCGUUGUCCGGAUUUAUUGGGCGUAAAGCGAGUGCAGGCGGUUCAAUAAGACUGAUGUGAAAGCCUUCGGCUCAACCGGAGAACUGCAUCAGAAACUGUUGCACUUGAGUGCAGAAGAGGAGAGUGGAACUCCUUGUGUAGCGGUGGAAUGCGUAGAUAUAUGGAAGAACACCAGUGGCGAAGGCGGCUCUCUGGACUGCAACUGACGCUGAGGCUCGAAAGCAUGGGUAGCGAACAGGAUUAGAUACCCGGGUAGUC